rnacentral:rRNA from 1 species
AGUGAACGCUGGCGGCGUGGUUAAGACAUGCAAGUCGAACGAGAUUUGAUUAACCGCAAGGAAGAUUGAUGAAAGUGGCAAACGGGUGCGUAACACGUAAACAACUUGCCCUUUAGUUGGGGAUAGCUCGCUGAAAAGUGAAUUAAUACCGAAUGUGGUGGUUUCUCGCAUGGGAAAUCUACUAAAGCUUGAAAUGGCGCUAAAGGAGGGGUUUGCGGCCUAUCAGCUAGUUGGUGAGGUGACGGCUCACCAAGGCUAAGACGGGUAGCUGGUCUGAGAGGAUGAUCAGCCACAUUGGAACUGAGACACAGUCUAGACACCUACGGGUGGCAGCAGUUUCGAAUCAUUCACAAUGGACGAAAGUCUGAUGGUGCAACGCCGCGUGAGGGAUGACGACCUUCGGGUUGUAAACCUCUGUCGCUAAGGAGCAAACGUUAGGUUCAUAGCCUAACCUGAG